rnacentral:lncRNA from 1 species
CAACUCCACCGGCAGAACCACCACCAACGCCGCCACCAGCACCACCGCCAACGCCGCCACCCACGCCACCAACUCCACCAAGCCCACUUGAACCACCGAGCCCACUAGCACCACCGAGGCCACCGACUCCACCAAUUCCUCCAAGCCCACCAGCACCACCGAGGCCAGUAAUCCCACCAAGACCUCCAACUCCACCAAACGGAAGCCCAUUAGAACCAAUGCCGGAGAAGCCACCAACACCACCGUAUGUUAGAAAGUUCUUUUGAUCAUCAAGGCCAGCAUCAGUGGGCGCACUUUUGGCAGUGUUAUGAACCACUUGAUCAUCAUGAUCACUAGGCGUAUUUCUUGCACUAGUGUGAACCGCUGCUACAGCAAGAACAAGCAUGACAUUGGCACACCACUUUGCCAUCUCUCUCAAAGAUUAUUAUUAUUUGAUUACUAUUAUGAAUUUUUCUUCUUAGUACAUGUGAACUAUUGUUGCGGGAGUCUCCUUAUAAAGGCUAAGAGGGCAUUGGGGAGGUAGUUGUGGGUAGUAAAUAGAAUUGAAUGCGGGCAACUUAGCUGGCACACUCGCUCAUAAGGUCUGCUGUUUGAAAUAUAUAUUUUCAAGGAUUUGUGCUUAGAGUAAAAUUGUUAUAGGAGUCAUCGUAAUGGUUUAAACGCCUGCUGUACGGCCAAGGCGGAUGUACGGUACAGCAGAAAUUUUGUUUUCAGAAGUACUGCAAGUUUUAAAAACAAUUAUGGACGUUUGAUAAAUUUUACUAUUAAACUGCUGAGAGUAAGUAAAUGAUUAAAAUAUAAAUAAUAUAGGAUAAAAUUUACUUAUACAUGUGAAAACACGUACACACAAUAUUUUUAAUUUUGUAUGAUGAUAAUUUUAACUAAAAAUAAAAUUUAUAAUAUAUAUUGAUUUUAUUUUUUAUCGUAAACAAUUGAUAAUUAAAUUUAUAAUAUAGUGAAACAAAUUUAAUAAUAAAUCGACCAACAAAUAUUGAUGAAUCAUAAUAAAAAUUUACUAAAAUAUUGGUUUUGUUUCCAAUUGAAUAAGAAUAAUUUUGGGUUUAGGUAAUAAUUUUAAAGAUAUUGAUGGAAUUGUAUUAAAGGAUAAAAUUGAUUUUUAAAAUCAGAAUCUAAAAGCUACUUCUUACUUACUUUUCAAAAUCAUCUGUAGUAGAGGCUGAUUUUGACAAAAGUGAUUUUGAUUUUUUUUUUUUACCAAACACUAAAAUUAACUUUUAGAUUUUUAAAAUUAGUUUUAAAUCUCCUAAAAGCAAUCCCAAAUAGAGCCUAACUCUAUUAUAAAUUCUUAAUUAAUAGCUCAUCUAAUAUUUGGUGUUAAAACAUGGACAAAAUAUCACAAAUUGGUAGGUAAAUUUGGACAUUUCAUUUCCACGACAUAUAGUCAAGUUUAAGGCUGUGGCCCGACAAAUUAAUGACCUUACUUUGCUUAGUGUAACGUAAUGCAUGAGCUUCGAUAACUUCAUAUGUAAACUUUAGUUGCUUUCGUUAAAGUUCUAUAACAUCAGUCAUCUCCAUUUAAAAGACAGAAGAAGAAGAAGAUAAAACACGCGAUUUAAUUAUUUACGUCGAAUAUCUCUGAAGUAGAGAAUUACAUUACAAUAACAUACCAAAAGCUCUCAAAACUAAAACUCAAAAGCAAACAGUAACUGAAACCAAAGUAAACGAACUAUCACACGAACAUGGCAUUAAAACUAAACUUUCUUAAUAACGCGCACGGGAAUAACGUGCACGGGAAACCCUCAAACAGGAAAAACCUUGAUUAAUUAAAAGCAAGUAAAGAAGCCCUAAUGUCUUCUAAGGCUCCAACUAUUUCAAGGGAAAGGAAGCACUCCAGUGCCAAUGCCAACUCCACCGGCAGAACCACCACCAACGCCGCCACCAGCACCACCUCCAACGCCGCCGCCACCGCCAACGCCGCCACCCACGCCACCAACUCCACCAAGCCCACUUGAACCACCGAGCCCACUAGCACCACCGAGGCCACCGACUCCACCAAUUCCUCCAAGCCCACCAGCACCACCGAGGCCAGUAAUCCCACCAAGACCUCCAACUCCACCAAACGGAAGCCCAUUAGAACCAAUGCCGGAGAAGCCACCAACACCACCGUAUGUUAGAAAGUUCUUUUGAUCAUCAAGGCCAGCAUCAGUGGGCGCACUUUUGGCAGUGUUAUGAACCACUUGAUCAUCAUGAUCACUAGGCGUAUUUCUUGCACUAGUGUGAACCGCUGCUACAGCAAGAACAAGCAUGACAUUGGCACACCACUUUGCCAUCUCUCUCAAAGAUUAUUAUUAUUUGAUUACUAUUAUGAAUUUUUCUUCUUAGUACAUGUGAACUAUUGUUGCGGGAGUCUCCUUAUAAAGGCUAAGAGGGCAUUGGGGAGGUAGUUGUGGGUAGUAAAUAGAAUUGAAUGCGGGCAACUUAGCUGGCACACUCGCUCAUAAGGUCUGCUGUUUGAAAUAUAUAUUUUCAAGGAUUUGUGCUUAGAGUAAAAUUGUUAUAGGAGUCAUCGUAAUGGUUUAAACGCUUGGGGUACCAGCUGAAAGAAAGUUACUGCGAUGGCCAGAGUGGCAAAUGCAGAAAUAAACAUGCAUGCCAGAUAUGGUGGUGACAAAUGAAAUGCUGAUUAGGGAUGUGGCGUUCGGGCAUGUGAUAUGCAGAGAAACAUUUGCCCAACCAAUCAAGUAAUUACAUUUGGUUGGAAGAAAAGGGCCGAUGUGAAGUGAUUGACUCAAUUCUGGGCAUUAUUAAUUUCCUGGACCAUUUCCAAUGACAUGAAAAAUUUUAAACUGUGUGUGACAAGGAACCUUACCUUUUGAGUUUUGAGAGGAAAUGCAAAUCCUAAUUAAGCUGUGAAAAAGUAAAAUUAAAUGUUCUUGCGUUGCGGAGAAUUAAGUAAAAAGUCAUCGAGCCUUUUCACUGAGCUGUAGUCCAUAACUCAUAAUACGUAGUAGCACGUGGUCAAUUCUAAACAUCAAUUUUUUUUUAUUAAAAAAAACUCUAAACAUUGAAUUAAUUUGCAAGAAAUAUUUCUUUUUUUUUUUUCAUCUUGGUAUUAGACUUCUAUAUCAAACAUUUUCUACUGUCAUUAUACUUUUUAUUCUACUAAUUAAUUUGCUUAUCUAAUCUAAAAGAAAAAAAAUUCUUAUCUCAACUAAAUUUGCGUGUUUUGGUUACUUUACUCACUCACUUUGUCAAUCUAGUUUUCUCUAACUAAAGACUUUUAGUUAACAUGUACUGACACAUUAAUUUAAUGGUAAAAUCUGUCCAAUCCUUUGGGACCAUCGUAAUUCAAGAGUUUGGAAAAAGUUAAACACUAUUUGCACACAAAAUUAUAAAUAAAAAUGAAUUAAUAAAUUUGUACAAUUUUAUAUGCAAGUAGCAUUACUCAUGGCAAAAUUUGAAGCAGUUAAUGGUUUUAUAUAGGGUAAGUUGAUUAUUAAAGAAUUAGAUUGUUUUGUUAAAUCUGAUUGGUGGUUAUUAAAUAUAAAGUUUCCAUUCAAUAUUUUAAUUUACUGUUGAGUUGCAUUAAAUAUUGGUUGGUCAAUGGAAGUCAGCUGCUAAAUUCAAUGUCGACCUACAUUCAAUCUCUACCUAACAAGUUUAAUUUGGGAUCGGAUACCUGCACAUUCUAAGUCCACCCCAAAUAUUACACUCCACCAUUCCCAACUCUUUACACCUAAAUUGAGAAAAUCGUUUGGAGAAAAUAUUGGUCAACACUAAUUGAAUCGUUGACUUAAACUAUAGGAAAUAAUAGAACAUUUACAACUGAGAAAAGUUUAGUAACACGACACAUAAAUUCUCCACCAGUUUUAUUUUUUCCUCUAUGUAUAGUAGUGUCUUUCAGCUAUAGGAUCAUUUUUCUAAUAUAUAAAUUAUCAUUAAAAUACAUGCUUAUUGAUAACGUAUUAUCAGUUUUGAUAUUCAGUUAUUGAUUCACCGAUCAUCCAAUUGAAGAAACGUGUUUUCAUUUCUUGAAUAAAACAUUAUACACUGAGAGUUAUUUAUAGAUGCAGAUGCUACAUUUUUUCAAAGAUUACAUAUGUAAAUACGGAAGGAAAUAGGUCUGUGUUGUGCGCGAGAGCUGGGCUGACGCUGGUGCUGCGUUGCGUUGCGCGCGCGGGACUGAUGUACUGCGCGAGGGUGAUUGCUGGAUUGAUUUGCGCUGUGCGCGCGAGCUGGAGCUGAGGAUCUGCGUUGCUAGGCGUUACUGCUGCUGCUUCGCGGGAUGUGUUGCGUGCACGGUUGCUGCUGAUUUCGCACAAUGGUGAUGGCUGGGGCUUGCUGCGUUGCACGCGGCUGCUUUCGCUGGUGGGACUUCGUUGCGCGCUGCUGGGCUGCGAGACACGGGAUGCUGGUGUUGCGCUCACGAGAUGGUGCGUUUUCCGGCGGGCUGGUUUGCUGCUGGUGUGCUGCAAGCGGCUGGAGAAGAAAACAAGUUCUGGAAAAUUAGGGAUUUUGUGAACAGUGAAUAGUGAACAGUGAUUUUCGAUUUUUGGUUUUUUUUUAAAUAAAUAAACAUAAUCAUUAAAGAACAUAUAUGGGAAUUAAAUAAAUAAAUAAAAUAAUUAUUUCAUUGAAUAGGGUUUCAUCUUUAACCUCAGUAUAAGAAAAUUAGCUGGACAUACUUAAAUUGGGAGCAACAAAAAAAAUAAAAUCAGCCAUGGGAAGCCGAAAUAUUGCUGCUGCAACUGGUCUCUUCCAACCUGACAUACUUGAAUUGGGAGCAACAAAAGAAAUAAAAUCAGCCAUGGGAAGCUUCCUUUUCCAAUUAUGAAACAAAGCUUCCAUAAUAACGCCAGCCAUUAAUUCCACUUUUGAAAGUCAAGUGUGGGCCCCAUUUAAAUUGCUUUCCCCUUUUGCAAUGCUAUGGACGUGCAACUCAAUUGGAGAAUUGAAAUUCUUUUUCAAUGCAAAUUGCUCUUAGCUCUUAACUCUAUCACAGCUUCAACUAAUAUUUCUCUAAAUUAUUAUUUUUUUUGCACUUUUUAUUUCCAAUCUCCAAUUAAUUUCCUAUUCAAUAAAACAAUUCAAUUAAUUAAAAAUAACAAAUAAAAUUAACUAGCAAAUAUACAAUAAAGGGUAAAAUAUGUAUAUAAAUUAUGCUCAUCACAUUGCUUAAUAUUUAUUAUUAUGGUUGGUUGAAUUAUAUACAUGGCAAUUAAUGAAUGAAAAUACAGGUGCUCCUGAAUCCCAAAACAUUUCCACGACAUAUAGUCAAGUUUAAGGCUGUGGCCCGACAAAUUAAUGACCUUACUUUGCUUAGUGUAACAUAAUGCAUGAGCUUCGAUAACUUCAUAUGUAAACUUUAGUUGCUUUAGCUAAGGUUCUAUAACAUCAGUCAUCUCCAUUUAAAAGACAGAAGAAGAAGAUAAAACACGCGAUUAAAUUAUUUACGUCGAAUAUCUCUGAAGUAGAGAAUUACAUUACGAUAACAUACCAGAAGCUCUCAAAGCUAAAAAUCAAAAGCAAACAGUAACUGAAGCCGAAGUAAACGAACUAUCACACGAACAUGACAUUAAACUAAACUUUCUUAAUAACGUGCACGGGAAACCCUCAAACAGGAAAAACCUUGAUUAAUUAAAAGCAAGUAAAGAAGCCCUAAUGUCUUCUAAGGCUCCAACUAUUUCAAUGGAAAGGAAGCACUCCGGUGCCAGUGCCAACUCCACCGGCAGAACCACCACCAACGCCGCCACCAGCACCACCGCCAACGCCGCCACCCACGCCACCAACUCCACCAAGCCCACUUGAACCACCGAGACCACCGACUCCACCAAUUCCUCCAAGCCCACCAGCACCACCGAGGCCAGUAACGCCAGCAAGACCUCCAACUCCACCAAGCGGAAGCCCAUUAGAACCAAUGCCGGAGAAGCCACUGACACCACCGUAUGUUAGAAAGUUCUUUUGAUCAUCAAGGCCAGCACCAGAGGGUGCAUUUUUGGCAGCGUUAUGAACCACUUGAUCAUCAUGAUCACUAGGCGUGUUUCUUGCACUAGUGUGAACCGCUACUACAGCAAGAACAAGCAUGACAGUGAC